rnacentral:tRNA from 1 species
GGCUUUAUAUUCAUGUUGUGAUGAUAGAAUGCAAUUCUAUUGGGGUGGUAAUUGUUUUGCCGCUAAGGCUU